UGGGUCCUUUAGCACUGCACCACCUGGGAGACCUCAUAAUGGUGAGGUAGCAGCCUCUGAAAUUUCCUCUGUCAACCAGGGUAAUAAGCCCCAACUGACCCCUGAUGGAAUUACAGGGAUAACUGCCUUCAUCAGAAAUUUAAGGAAGAAUAAAGUGAUCUUCAUGGAAAGCUUCAUGAUAAAAAUGAUUUGAAUCAGGCCUUGAAGGAUAAGUAUAACUGGGAUGAAGAAAGAAAAGUAAAGGGCAUAUACAAGUUUCAAAAUCAUGAUUCACGGAAGAAUGUUUAUUUCUUCAGUCUCUGAAUGGAACAAAUACCUUCACCUUUAAAAAAAAAUCAAUAAUCAGCAUAAGAAGAAAACUACAACAGUCAUAACAGUUAACAUUUAAUAAAUUCUGGGCUAAGAGCUAAA